AUGGCUGCGCCGCCGGCCGAGCGCUCGUUCGACGUCAUCGUGGUGGGCGCGGGCAUCAUUGGCAGCUGUGCGGCGCACGCGGCGGCGUCCCGGGGCGCGAGCGUGCUCCUGCUCGAGCGCUUCGACCUGCUGCACCAGCGCGGCUCGUCGCACGGCGAGUCCCGCACCACCCGCCCCACCUACACGCGGCCGCAGUACCCUCCCAUGGUCCGGCUCGCGCACCGCCUCUGGCACGACGCCGAGCGCGACGCCGGGUACACCGUGCUCACGCCCACCCCGCACCUCGACCUGGGGCCCCGGGACGCGCCGGCCUUCGUCGCCGCCAUCGCCAACGGCGGCGCCACCGAGCUCGCCCCGGCGGGGGACGCAUCGCGGCCGGCGUGGGCGGGGGCGUUCAGGGUGCCCGAGGGGUGGGCCGCGGCGACCAGCGGGCCGGCCGGUGUGAUAAAGGCGACCAAGGCGAUGGCCAUGUUCCAAACGCUCGCCGCCAAGAUGGGCGCCGUCGUGAGGGACAGAACCGAGGUCGUCGACGUUGCCAGGCAAGGAGAAGGAAAUACGAUCGUGGUGAAGACAGCAAGCGGCGAGGAGUUCCACGGCGGCAAGUGCAUCAUCACGGUGGGCGCGUGGGCGAGCAAGCUGGUGAAGUCCGUCACCGGCGCCGACCUGCCCGUGCAGCCGGUGCACACCCUGGUCUGCUACUGGAGGGUCAAGCCCGGGCACGAGGAGGAGCUGACGACGGAGGCCGGCUUCCCGACGUUCGCGACGUACGGCGAGCCCGGCUUCUACGGCACGCCGUCGAUGGAAUACCCGGGCCUGAUCAAGGUCUGCCGGAACGGCGGGCCGCCGUGCGACCCGGACGGCCGGGACUGGGCCACCGGCACCGGCGCGGGCGGGAUCGCGGAGAUCGUGGCGCGGUGGAUCGACGAGUUUAUGCCGGGCGUCGUGGACACAGCCGGCGGGCCGGUGCUCCGGCAGCCGUGCAUGUGCUGCAUGACGCCCGACGAGGACUUCGUGAUCGACUUCCUGGGCGGGGAGGAAUUCGGGAAGGACGUGGUGAUUGGCGCCGGGUUCUCCGGCCACGGGUUCAAGAUGGGCCCGGCCGUCGGGAAGAUCCUCGCCGAGCUGGCGUUGGACGGCGAGUCGGGCACAGCGGCGGAGGCCGGCUUGGAGCUCGAGCACUACCUGAUCGGACGGUUCGAGGGCAACCCCAUGGGGAACGCCACGAGUCACUGA
rnacentral:rRNA from 1 species